UACGGGGGGAGCAACCGUUGUUCGGAAUCACUGGGCGUAAAGGGCGUGUAGGCGGCUGAAUAAGUGGGAUGUUAAAUCCCCCGGCUCAACCGGGGACCUGCAUCUCAUACUGUUCAGCUCGAGCACAUCAGAGGAGACUGGAAUUCCCGGUGUAGCGGUGAAAUGCGUUGAUAUCCAGCGGAACUCCGGUGGCGAAGGCGGCUCGCUGGGCCCUCUCUGACGCUGAGGCGCGAAAGCCAGGGGAGCGAACGGG
rnacentral:rRNA from 1 species